GGGAGACCAAGAGAUCAACAGAGAGGGAGGAAGGGAAGAGAAAGCAGAUACAAACAUUUCGGAUGUGUUACGUACACGUACCAAAUCCACACAAGAAAUGUAAUCAUUAUGUACUGCAAACAUGCACUAUAUUUUAAAAUAAAUUAAUGAAAACAUAAUUCCCAUUCCUUCCUCACUGAAAAGGGAGGAAUGAUUAAGCAUUGCCCUUCGGGUUGACCACCCUGCUCUUGCAGUUACUGCUAGCCUACAGUGGCCUUGGCCUUGUACUGGUGGUAGAGACUUCCUCACGCUAAUAGGAGAAGCUUUUCGUGGGUAUAGAAUGAGGCAGCCUCUUCACAUUAGAAACGGACAAAAUGACUAAAUAGCCAUUUAUUUGGUGUUCCUCAGACAACAACCGGAAUGUGAACUGUCACUACUUUCUGAGGCCUGAUGUCAACCUCGAGUGUAACACAGACGGGUAAAAAGAAGUCUAGCGCUGCUAGCGCAUCCUGUAAAGAGAAUCGCCACCCC
rnacentral:lncRNA from 1 species